ensembl:lncRNA
AUGGCGGCCGGUGGCAGGGCGCCGCUCCCCGGCCUGAGCCCCGUGAGGGGACAGAGCGCUGGGACAGCCGCCUCAGCCCGGGUCACCCAGUCCCUGCCGCCCCCGCGUCCCCCGGAGCGCGCCCUGCAGCGCAGAACGCGGCCUGGGAGCCAGGAGCGGGGACAAUCCCCUCGGCUCGGCAGCAGCGCCGGGAGGCAGCGGGCGGUGCCCUCAGUGAGCCAGGGCUGGCACAGGGAAUCGUGCAGGUGCUGGUCUGGCACCGGAGCUGCUGCCCUUUGGAGCCAUUUUAAAGGUAAGAUCAUAGAACAUUUUGGGGGCUGUUUUCAGAAAUCUGGCUCUAGAACUCCUGUCCCCAGCCCGUUGCUAACCCUGAGACAUCUGCUCUGGUUUCAGGCUGUCCUUGCUGGAGCACCCUGGUCCCUGCCAGGGCCAAGCCCUGAGGCACAGAGGGAGCCCUGUCCCAAGUGGCCUUUGGCACCUUGUCAGGAAUGUGGCAGCAGCCCCGGGAGCAGCUGGAGGUGAGAACUGGGUGUGUGAAACUGAGCAGUGCUUCUCUGGGGCUGGGGGGAAGGGGAGGAGUUUCCAUCCCCCCUGGAGCUUUCCUGCUGGGAUGAGGCAGCACAGGGAGCAGAAUUCAUUGUGCACCUCCCACGGGCAUUGCUGGCCUUGGUGUCUCUGUUGUGCCAUCAGACCGUGGCAGUUUGCUGCUGUCACUGCCACUGCCACCCCACCUGGGGGCUGUGCCCUCCUGCCAGCCCCACACAGGAGCUCCAGGGGUGCCUCUGUGCUCUGUUGGGAGCGUUUGCUGGGAAUGUGCCUCAUCCCUGGGAGUGUCCCUUUGUCCCUGGGCUGGGGACAGAGCUUUGGGCUGGUCAGGCUCAGAGUUGGAUUGCCAAAGGCACUGAGAGGGAGCAGGACAGGGAGGGUGCUCAGAGAGGGGCUGGCAGAGCCCAGCUGGCAGUGUGUGCUGGGUGCUGCAGGUGGGGCUGUGUGCACUGCAGGGAGUGAAUGUCCCCUGCCCUAAUCAGCCCUACAGAUCCCAAGGGCUCCUAGAGCAGGAUUUUAUUCCUUACUUCCCUUUGUGGAAAUUUAUUCUCCAAAUUGCCAUGAGCAAUUCUUUGAUUUCUCUAGGAGAAAACCUCCCAGCAGAGACAGAUUGCAAUGGAGGCCAGAGUUGUGUUUGGAGCAGGGAGUGCUGAGAGCUGCGUCUGCCUGUGCUGCCACAGCCUGACCACAGGCACAUGGAACAGCCUGGGAAAAGGGAUUGGGGGCAUUUCUGAUGCCCCAGUGAGAAGAACACAAACUCACAGCCAUUCAGCCUGACAGUCCCCUCCACCAGAGCUCAGCACACAUCCUCAGAGGGAAGUCCAGCAUCUGAAGGAUAAAAAAAAAAACCACAGAAGAAAAAGGUGAUUUAUUUUGUGUUAAAGUUAUUUCAAGUUCUUAUUAAAGCCCAACCAACAUUUGCUCUGGAUUUUGGUUGGGUGAAUAACGAGCAGUGGGCAUAGAUGAUGCCAUUCCUUUAGCUGAAAACCUGGUGUAAUCUAGAGGGGAUACAAGAACUGUUUGUGUAGGAAAAUGUAAUGUGAGGGAUGUCAGGGGAGUGAGGGGGCAUUUUUGAGGGAAUUGCUGAGGUAAUUGAAGGGAGACCAGCAGACAGUUUCCCUGGGAAAUCCGAGGCCCCUCGGGCCCACAGCCAGGACUCUCCAGGGCUAAGGGGUCACACUUGAGACUCACUGUGUCCUCCUUCCUUGGCAGCAGCCAGCAGGGAAGGGAGAAGAGGAUCCCUGUGGGAUGAGACUGGAGAGAGCGAGCAGAGGAGCAGCCUCGGGCUGGAGAAAGGCAAAGGGACCACAACAUGGUGUCACCAGGGCACCUGUGAGGAACAGAAUGGACACUUGGAGGCCACGUGGAGGUGAGGAGUGGAUGGUUUGGGGCUAAAUGUGAGUUAAUCUCCAGAGAGAUAAGUAGGGGAUGUUUAGGAGGGAAAAGCUGAGGUGAUGAGUUCACCCACCCUGGCACAAGGUGAGUUUGCACAGGCUGGGGCCAGAGGUGAAGGUCAAUCCAAAGCCAGCCCUGCUCAACCUCUAAAUGCCAUGAUAAGUUUUACAGGCUGCCCACAGAGGGAUUAAAAAUACAUAAAAAUGAAACCAAGAGCAUCAAUGAGAUUCCUGGGCAUCCCAUGAACUUGUUGUCAGAACUCCUAACACAGUUUUGAGCUUGGAUGACAAGAAUGCAUUUCUUUAUUUGGAUUCUUCACUGUGUGGGAUAUGGGGUUUAUUUGGAUUUUAAAGCCCUCAUGGUGGCCCUGACACUGCUCAGGAGCUGGCAGGAAAAGCAGAGUCAGAGCUCCUGGCAGGCACAGGGUGUUUUCCCCCAUAGUGGAUUGUGGAGGAAUUGUCUGGGACCUGGAUUGUCCCUCUGGGUGAUGCCACUUGCUGUGAUUUGUAUCAUUCCAUACAUUUAAUUCCCAGAACUUCCCAGCCCAGGGGUUUGAGCUGACAGGGCAGGACAAAGAUUGUUCUCUGUGUGGUGCCCAGAUUUGGGGUUCCCUGUCAGCUGUGCUAGUUGUGAUGAAUUACACCCACAGCCCCAAAUUCCCUGCUCCAUUCCCGCUGCAGUAACCUCACAGUGCCCCAUGGAGUGUGGGUGUUCCCAUGCAGAGCUGCUGCCUUGGACAGCAGCUGUGUCAGGAGCCAGCAGAGCUUCCAAGGCAGCUCAGCAGCACAGGGACAAGGACAGGGUCAUAUUCCAUAGAACUGGCUAUUUAGAACCCUCACCCCAAUGGUGUCCCUGGGGUCACUGGACAGAGCUGCCUGGAACUGAGCUGAUUUCACCCCCUGAGCUCCAGGAUGGAGAACAUCCAGUUGAUGUUUUAAAGCAGGAGAAGGCAGUGGCCAGAUGUGCUCCCAGCCUGUGCUGAGGCAGCCCCUGUGCCCAGGGGGGGACAUCUCUCCCUGCAGGAGCUCAGCUCCUUUCAGAGCCUCAGCAGUGGCCUCUACAAAUUCUUUUCUCUCAGGAAAGGGAUGGACAUCUCUGUCUUCAGCACACCUCCAGUGGGACCUACCUGUGAAAGCUUUCCUUCACUUCUGCACUUGCAGCUGGAUCCCUGAGAAACUCCAAACUCCAUCCCACUGAUUUUCAGGUAUGUCUGAGGGCUGCUGCCUGGGAUUUAAUAUCUGUGGGGGAAGAUUGCCUUGGCUUUAAUGCUGCUGCUGGAUGAUGGCCUCAGGCUGGGGAGGAGGGAAGGGAUUUGGGGUGGCUGGGACAUCCCUGGCAGCUGUGUGGGAGCUCUGAACCAGGAAUUGCUGUGUGAGCCCCUCUGCAAAUGGCCCCUGCCUCCAUUCCCAGGUAAUGCCAGCUGCUCCUUGGGGUCCUUCUGGGCUCUUGGUGCUCUCUGUCUGGGCUGAGGCAUUUCCACGUGCCCGGUCAGAGCAGCCCCUGGCCGAGGAGCCACGGUGCAGGCACAGCUCCUCCCCUGCAGAUGCCAAAGACACGAGGUGCUGCUUGCCUUUCAGGAGCUCCUGGCCUCCUCCUGCCCUGCGCUCCCAGCCAGCUGGGACACACCGAGGGAACACCAAGGAGCAUCGCUGGCAGCGAGCAGGAGACACCGAGGCCUCUGGGCCAGAAGAACAGCCCUGGCCUCAGCAGCCACCAUCGCUUUGACCUGGCAACACUCACCUGCAGGAAACGCCCCCUGGCACUCUCCAGAAGAGCUUGGGCCACAGAGCAAGGUGACCCUCAGGACUUGUCUUGUUCACUUCUUCCUGGGGAAACACAGGGACAUUGCAGGAGCACAUGUACAGCUGCUGGGUAAAUCCUGGAGAGGGCAGAAAAAUCAGGGUUAUGGGGAAGAGUUGGUGCUGGCAUGCUGAGUGCCAGCCAGUUCUGCCCUACAGCCAUUGCAGGGGCUGGUGUGUAAAGCAGCAUUAGCAGAAGGGAAGGAGCUGCAUUUGUAGAGGAGUUCUCUUACUGGCAGCAAUCAUUCCCAUCCCACACAGGACCUUUGGAACAACCCUGGGAUUGGCUCAGGUGUUUGGAGCAGGGUGCUGAGAAGGCCAAAAUUCUGUGUUCGAUGCACAGCUGGGCUCAUCACUGCUCAGCAUUUGACUCGAUGAUCCUCACGGCCCUGGAAAUAAAGAAC